CCACGUCCCCAGGUCAGGCGUGAAU
rnacentral:rRNA from 1 species